rnacentral:rRNA from 1 species
UACGUAGGGGGCAAGCGUUGUCCGGAAUCAUUGGGCGUAAAGCGCGCGUAGGCGGCCCGGUAAGUCCGCUCUGAAAGUCCAGGGCUCAACCCUGGAAAGCGGGUGGAUACUGCCGGGCUAGAAUCCGGAAGAGGCGAGUGGAAUUCCUGGUGUAGCGGUGGAAUGCGCAGAUAUCAGGAGGAACACCGAUAGCGAAGGCAGCUCGCUGGGACGGUACUGACGCUGAGGUGCGAAAGCGUGGGGAGCGAACAGG